UCAUUGUUUCCACACUUCACAUUUAUUGACCUGGUAUUCAAAAAGGUUGACUGGUAGACAACUAUUGACUACAGAAGCUUUGCGUUUUCACGGCCUCUUUGAAGGGUCAUAGAUGUUAGGAGCGCAAGCUGCAGAACACUGGGGAUCCCUGGGAAUCCAGCCACAUGUGCCAGAGCAACAGGAGCAGCAACAGCGCACCGAGCGCUCGUUCUCCAGAUUGCCAGACAAAUUAGAACGGCAGUCGUGGGGUGUGGAGGGAUUCCUGCAUUCACAGCCACCAACAAAUAAAGCGCUCUUUCAUGGUGUGUCCAUCCUGGUAUUGUACUUGCAAAGGUACCCACAGGUCCAUUCUUUUCCAAAGAUUCACAGCCUUAAAGAUACACUAUUGUUCAAAAGCUUGGGGCUGGUUCCCUGAACUGCUGAAACUUCUGGGACAUAAGCAGCUGUGCACUUCCCACUGCACUGCGGAUCUUCCCCAGGACUGAACAGCACACACAAAAACAAACAGGAGCUUUAGGAACCAGUGGCCGUCACGCUGACACACAGAGCGGCCUACGACUUCCAAUGGAUCUUCUGUUACGCUAUCAAUCCAUGGGUCAGGUGGAGGCAGGAUGGAGGGAUCAAAGCCAACGUCCUCAUACUCA